CUUGUUUAGAGAUUAAUAAAUAUGAGUUAAGUGGUAACAUGCUUCACUGUUUGUGUUCUAAUGAAGGAUCCAAAGGUUCACUUACCUAGUGUAAAAGAGAUUCUAUUUGUAAUUCUAGAUCUGUUGGUGUUGUUGAAGAAGACAUGAAGAAGAUGAGAAGAGGGAGAAAUGUCAGACCCAAAAAAAUAAACAGAAAUUAGGUUUGGAUUGAAGAAUAAAGGCUAAAGGUAGGUGUGGUGGAUACAAGUAUGAUGAAGAUGAUGGAUGGAGGAAGAUGACGGAUGGAUGAAGAUUGACGGAGAAGAAUGGGAAAAUUGGAAACCCUCCCCUUUUUUUAAUAAUUUUAUUUUAGUUAAUUUUUUUUUAUAA
rnacentral:lncRNA from 1 species